rnacentral:rRNA from 1 species
GGGGAAUAUUGGACAAUGGGCGCAAGCGCUGAUCCAGCCAUGCCGCGUGAGUGAUGAAGGCCUUCGGGUUGUAAAGCUCUUUCACCGGGGAAGAAAAUGACGGUAACCGGAGAAGAAGCCCCGGCUAACUUCGUGCCAGCAGCCGCGGUAAUACGAAGGG